UACAGAGGGUGCAAGCGUUAAUCGGAAUUACUGGGCGUAAAGCGCGCGUAGGUGGUUGGUUAAGUUGGAUGUGAAAGCCCCGGGCUCAACCUGGGCACUGCAUCCAAAACUGGACGGCCUGAGUCCGGUAGAGGGUGGUGGAAUUUCCUGUGUAGCGGUGAAAUGCGUAGAUAUAGGAAGGAACACCAGUGGCGAAGGCGACCACCCGGACUGAUACUGACACUGAGGUGCGAAAGCGUGGUGAGCAAACAGG
rnacentral:misc_RNA from 1 species